CUGAUGGCGACCGGCGUACGGGUGAGUAACGCGUAUCCAACCUGCCCUUUACUAUGGGACAGCCCGUCGAAAGGCGGAUUAAUACCGUAUGUUGUCAUGUUGAUGCAUAUUUUCAUGACCAAAGGCUUCGGCCGGUAAAGGAUGGGGAUGCGUCUGAUUAGCUUGCCGGCGGGGUAACGGCCCACCGGGGCGACGAUCAGUAGGGGUUCUGAGAGGAAGGUCCCCCACAUUGGAACUGAGACACGGUCCAAACUCCUACGGGAGGCAGCAG
rnacentral:rRNA from 1 species